rnacentral:rRNA from 1 species
UUCGCUGGUCCGUGUCCGUCCGGGGUGACUCGGUUCGGACCUCCGGGCCGUCAAGGCGGUUCGGAAUCACGGGGGUAUCAAAGGCGGACAUGCGACGCGCCAGUGUCGAUCACCCGUACCCGAUGCUCUUUACUGAGUGUCGAGGCGGGCCGGCACGUUUACUUUGAAUCAAACUGGGUGCUCAAGGCAGGCUAACAUAUAAUUACCGCCGGAAAGAACUUGCAUGGAAUAAUGGAAUAGGACCUCGGUUCUAUUUUGUUGGUUUCCGGAACCCCGAGGUAAUGAUAAAUGGGGACUGACGGGGGCAUUAGUAUUGCGGCGUUAGAGGUGAAAUUCUUGGAUCGUCGCAAGACUACCUAAAGCGAAAGCAUUUGCCAAGGAUGUUUUCAUUAAUCAAGAACGAAAGUUAGAGGUUCGAAGGCGAUCAGAU